CCCUCCGCUUCGCCACCGUCGUCCCUUCUUGGUCCCCCCCCUCCUGGGCCGAGCGGGGGUGGGGGGGGCCGUGGCGGCCGCCGUCGCCGUGGUGGGGGACGUGGUGGGGGGCGCGGUGGGGGCACACCGGCGGGCACACCGACGCCUCCACGGGGUUCUCCCUGGCCGUCCUUUACCCACCCAUGGUCAGGGCGCAUCUCUAUGUGGCCUUUCCAGGCCACCGGCGAGCCUCGUCCACCGGCCGCCAUGCUCGCUGGCGCUGUCCCAGCUGCUCAGUUCGCGUCGCCGUGGGCUCCUCCUCAGUUUGCGUCGCCGUGGGCUCCUCCUCCCGGGGCCUCGCCUGGGCCUGUCGGAUGGGACCCGACUGCCUUGGCACGCUCCUUCGGCACCAUGGCCCUGACUCCUCCAGUCGGUCAGGACUGGAUCGCAGACUCGGGUGCCACUUUCCAUACUACACCCGACCCUGGAUGUGGCUACCCGGCGACCUCUUCUCCGCUGUGACAGCACCGGGCCCCUUUACUCCCUCCGAUUUCCUGCGUCCACUUCUUCCGCUUCGCCCUCCGCUUCUUCAGCCGCUUUUGCUACCACAGCUUCUUCCACUACAUGGCACCGGCGUCUUGGUCAUCCUGGCCGUGCUGUCCUGACACAGCUUAGUCAUAAUUCCGAUAUACCACGUACUCGGGCUCCUGAUGAGCACCUGUGUCAGGCGUGCCAACUGGGCCGUCAUGUUCGACUUCCUUUUCCUACCUCUUCUUCACAUGCGACCCAUGUAUUCGACCUUGUACAUUGCGAUCUAUGGACAUCUCCUGUUCUAAGCA